rnacentral:rRNA from 1 species
GACGAACGCUGGCGGCGUGCUUAACACAUGCAAGUCGAGCGGAAAGGCCCUUCGGGGUACUCGAGCGGCGAACGGGUGAGUAACACGUGAGCAACCUGCCCUAGGCUUUGGGAUAACCCCGGGAAACCGGGGCUAAUACCGAAUAGGACCUGGCCUCGCAUGAGGCUGGGUGGAAAGUUUUUCGGCCUGGGAUGGGCUCGCGGCCUAUCAGCUUGUUGGUGGGGUGAUGGCCUACCAAGGCGACGACGGGUAGCCGGCCUGAGAGGGCGACCGGCCACACUGGGACUGAGACACGGCCCAGACUCCUACGGGAGGCAGCAGUGGGGAAUAUUGCACAAUGGGCGGAAGCCUGAUGCAGCGACGCCGCGUGAGGGAUGACGGCCUUCGGGUUGUAAACCUCUUUCAGCAGGGACGAAGCGUAAGUGACGGUACCUGCAGAAGAAGCGCCGGUCAACUACGUGCCAGCAGCCGCCGUAAAAC